AUAAUAGCAGUACAGUCAGACAAACAAGUCAAGGUGAGAAUGUGGAAAGAUCAGAAGAAACUGAAUAACUAGCCAAGGUCACGAAAUGGAGACAUCAGUAGAGCGAAUGAGUAAGCCAAGAUCAUUAUCAAAAUAGACAGUAAACAAGGAACAUGCUAUUGGGUCUAAGGAAAACCACAAAAAGGUGCAAGGCCGCUGAAGAGAUGGUGCCACGAUUAAUGUUGCAU